rnacentral:lncRNA from 1 species
UUACGAAAAUUCAUGGUCUGAAGUCUUUUCUUGAAGAAACAGAUAUAUUUUUAGGUCUUUCUUGUGAAAAACCGGAGUCACGAGGGUCUUUCUGGAAAAACCGGAGUCCCAUGGAUCAGUGUUUGAAUGCCCUGCAAAUAUUUCGGAAGUUUCCCAAGGUGCAAGGACCUCUCUGCAAGAUUCCAGAUCAGGUCGGAGCUGCUCCUAAUUUUGUUUCGCGGGAGCGCGCUCGUUGCCAGGUGAGCCAUGGGCCGUCGGCCCAUUCAAGUUUCCCACCUCUGUCCUUUUUUUUAAUUUUUAUUUUUCGUCUUGGGCCGAGUUUGCUGUGGACUGCAGGGGCCUGCUCGGGAGAACAAGCGUCGUGGCCAGCCCAGUUCGCAAGUCCCUUCGCGGUUGAGUAAAUUACAGAAAACCACCACUUUACUGGCUAGGGUUUCACAUAGGUACAAGUUCACGUCUUGGUGACUAAAAACCACCGGAUUUGGUUAACUGUUCGAUCCCUCGCGUCUAAACCUCAUACUAACAGGGAUGGCCCACUAUCAGGCCACGUGCCUUGACAGUGUGGCUUAUGUGUCUGGACAGCGUGGCUUCAGUCUUAGGCACAGGUACCGGAGCCACCCGGCCAUGCCGU